GGUUGCGAUCAUACCAGCACUAAUGCCACCAGAUCCCAUCAGAACUCCGCAGUUAAGCGUGCUUGGGCGAGAGUAGUACUAGGAUGGGUGACCCCCUGGGAAGUCCUCGUGUUGCAACCC
rnacentral:rRNA from 1 species